AGAGUUUGAUCCUGGCUCAGGAUGAACGCUGGCGGCGUGCCUAAUACAUGCAAGUCGAGCGAACCACUUCGGUGGUGAGCGGCGAACGGGUGAGUAACACGUAGGUGAUCUGCCCAUCAGACGGGGACAACGAUUGGAAACGAUCGCUAAUACCGGAUAGGACGAAAGUUUAAAGGUGCUCCUGGCACCGCUGAUGGAUGAGCCUGCGGCGCAUUAGCUAGUUGGUAGGGUAAAGGCCUACCAAGGCGACGAUGCGUAGCCGACCUGAGAGGGUGAACGGCCACACUGGGACUGAGACACGGCCCAGACUCCUACGGGAGGCAGCAGUAGGGAAUCUUCGGCAAUGGGCGAAAGCCUGACCGAGCAACGCCGCGUGAAUGAUGAAGGCCUUCGGGUUGUAAAAUUCUGUUAUAAGGGAAGAACGACUUUAGUAGGAAAUGGCUAAAGUGUGACGGUACCUUAUGAGAAAGCCACGGCUAACUACGUG
rnacentral:rRNA from 1 species